rnacentral:rRNA from 1 species
GACAGAGGUGCCGAGCGUUAGGCGGAAUCACUGGGCUUAAAGCGUGUGUAGGCGGAUCGUUAAGUACCUUGUGAAAUCCCACGGCUUAACCGUGGAACUGCUUGGUAUACUGGCGAUCUUGAGCCACCUAGGGGCAACCGGAACAAAUGGUGGAGCGGUGAAAUGCGUUGAUAUCAGGAGGAACACCCAUGGCGAAGGCAGCUAACUGGGCAUUAUCUGACGCUGAGGCGCGAAAGCGUGGGUAGCAAACAGG